rnacentral:tRNA from 1 species
AGGGAAUAGUUUAAUUAGAACGUCAGCUUUGGGUGUUGGUGGUGGGGCUAUUGCCUCUUCCU